GUGGGGAAUAUUGCGCAAUGGGCGAAAGCCUGACGCAGCGACGCCGCGUGAGGGAUGAAGGUCUUCGGAUUGUAAACCUCUUUCAGCAGGGACGAAGCGAAAGUGACGGUACCUGAAGAAGAAGCACCGGCUAACUACGUGCCAGCAGCCGCGGUAAUACGUAGGGUGCAAGCGUUGUCCGGAUUUAUUGGGCGUAAAGAGCUCGUAGGCGGUUAGACACGUCGGAUGUGAAAACUGGGGGCUCAACCCCCAGCCUGCAUUCGAUACGGUCUGACUAGAGUGUGGUAGGGGUAACUGGAAUUCCUGGUGUAGCGGUGAAAUGCGCAGAUAUCAGGAGGAACACCGAUGGCGAAGGCAGGUUACUGGGCCACCACUGACGCUGAGGAGCGAAAGCGUGGGGAGCAAACAGGAUUAGAUACCCUGGUAGUCCACGC
rnacentral:rRNA from 1 species